AGUGGAAUUGCUGGGUUGUAUGAUAAAUUAAUGUUUAACUUUUGAGGGAUUGCCAAAUUGUUUUCCAAAGUGGUCGCACCAUUUUACAAUCCCACCAGCAAU
rnacentral:pre_miRNA from 1 species